rnacentral:rRNA from 1 species
ACGCUCGACACCUACGGGAGGUAGCAGUGGGGAAUAUUGCACAAUGGGGGAAACCCUGAUGCAGCGACGCCGCGUGGAGGAAGAAGGUCUUCGGAUUGUAAACUCCUGUUGUUGGGGAAAAAGAGGAUGGUACCCAACAAGGAAGUGACGGCUAACUACGUGCCAGCAGCCGACGGUAAUCUGAGGCGGGCUGGACAAGGC